GGUGAUCAGCGGCGGGGCAGGGAACUAUGCGCUCCUGUGCCCCGCCGCAGUAUAUGGGCGUUCGGGUCGGCAUUGGGCCCCCCAGUGGUGCUGGGCCCAGGGCUGCCGACCCGAACGCCCCUAUUGUAAUCCGCCAUUGGUCGGGACCCUGUAUCUAAACUUUCGGUUUG